GAUGAACGCUGGCGGCGUGCUUAACACAUGCAAGUCGAACGAAGAUAUUUAAAAUGAGAGCUUCGGCAGGAUUUUUAUCUAUCUUAGUGGCGGACGGGUGAGUAACGUGUGGGCAACCUGCCCUGUACUGGGGAAUAAUCAUUGGAAACGAUGACUAAUACCGCAUGUGGUCCUCGGAAGGCAUCUUCUGGGGAAGAAAGGAUUUAUUCGGUACAGGAUGGGCCCGCAUCUGAUUAGCCAGUUGGUGAGAUAACAGCCCACCAAGGCGACGAUCAGUAGCCGACCUGAGAGGGUGAUCGGUCACAUUGGGACUGAGACACGGCCCAAACUCCUACGGGAGGCAGCAGUGGGGAAUAUUGCACAAUGGGCGAAAGCCUGAUGCAGCAACGCCGCGUGAAGGAUGAAGGGUUUCGGCUCGUAAACUUCUAUCGAUAGGGAAGAAACAAAUGACGGUACCUAAAUAAGAAGCCCCGACUAACUACGUGCCAGCAGCCGCGGUAAUACGUAGGGGGCAAGCGUUAUCCGGAAUUACUGGGUGUAAAGGGAGCGUAGGCGGCAUGGUAAGCCAGAUGUGAAAGCCUUGGGCUUAACCCGAGGAUUGCAUUUGGAACUAUCAAGCUAGAGUACAGGAGAGGAAAGCGGAAUUCCUAGUGUAGCGGUGAAAUGCGUAGAUAUUAGGAAGAACACCAGUGGCGAAGGCGGCUUUCUGGACUGAAACUGACGCUGAGGCUCGAAAGCGUGGGGAGCAAACAGGAUUAGAUACCCUGGUAGUCCACGCCGUAAA
rnacentral:rRNA from 1 species